UGCUUCCUUCACUGGUCGCACUGGCAAUGGUUAUUUUCUUCAAUAGAUAUUUUCCUAGGUGCCACCUGUAAUUUUAUGGCCUUAACAAAAAAAUUCUGAACCACAACACACGCACAAAACUUACCCUCUAGGGGCUGGCACUAAAGUUAAUCGAAAUAUAAAUUUUCCGAUUCACUGGGUUUUGGUUGAAUUGGUUGAAUUAUCGAAUUGUUGAAUUUCUCUUUUUUUUCUGUAUUUUUGAGAGAUUACUUUUAUUCUCGGAUAGCUCGGACGCACUUUCUCGCUCGCUGGUUUAAACGCAAUUAAUGCCCAGUGGCUACCGCUUCGGGUCGGGACCCCGAGUCUGAACUCCAAAAAUUGCAGUUGGAGAAAUGUUCUACAUGACGCCUAGUUAACAUUUGUCCCGACCUUAAGAACGACCUAAUUAAGUGCCUACUUUUAGGCCGAGAUCACCGACAAGCUACCUUACAAAGUUCCAUUUUGUUUUCCAGAGAGGGCAAGGAAGUUGCAACAGAGGUAACUACCGAGGACGAGGAAAUGGUCUAGGUGCAAUGGCAGAGGACGUGGAGGAUAUAGAGGAAAUAACUACCAGAACAGAGGUGGUGGUAACUAUAAAACCAAAACCGCAAUUUCUCAAAUUAAAGCGGAAAACCAGCAGGCUCCCUUAGGAAAUCAAGAACAGUAAAACAAAAGGUUCAUACCAUCAAUCUCAAUCUAAAUAUUUUCAUUAAAGUACAAAAUGAACACACUCCUACUUACAUUUCUAGUAGACAUAGGCGCCGAUAUAUCAGUCAUUAAAGAAAAUUCAGAUGAACUUUUGAAUGUUGAUCAUAAUAAUAUAACACAAAUUACAGGAAUUGGAAAGGGUUUAAUAAAUUCAAUAGGUUUAACAUUUCUCGAGAUGAGAACCGGUAACUAUAUAGUACCGCACAAUUUUCAUGUUGUGGACGACAAUUUUACGAUCCCUGGUGACGCAAUAGUUGGAAUCGACUUCAUAAAACAUUCAAUUGCCAAUUAGAUUUUACUACGGAAAGUGAUUUUUUCAUUCUAAGACCAAAUAAUAUUUAACAAUCAAUACAAAUACCAAUUUUUCAUAAUAUUGAUAACACUAAGAUAACCAUACCAUCUCGUUGUGAGGUUAUCAGGCAAAUUAAUGUAAGUUCGGUGGAAAAACAAAUUUUAAUACCUAAUCAGGAAAUAGAAGAUGGUAUAUUUGUGGGAAAUUCGAUAUCAGAUUCAAAAAACACGUACAUUCGAAUACUAAACACAACUAACAGCAAUAAAAUUGUAAACGUUAUCAAAAUCAAUAUUGAACCGUUAACUAACUACAAAAUAGCAGAUCUAAACGACUCCAUAAGAGCCGAAUCAAAUUUAAGCAGAUUAAAGAAAAACUUUCCAUCUGCACAUAAGAAAAUGUUGACUGAACUGUGUUCACAAUAUACUGAUAUUUUUGGAUUGGAGACAGAGCCAAUCACUACAAAUAAUUUUUACAAACAAAAGAUAAGAUUGAGAGAUGAUGAACCAAGCUAUAUUAAGAACUAUAGAACACCUCAUUCACAACAAGCCGAAAUAUCGAGACAGGUAACUAAAUUAAUAGAAGACAAGGUAGUAGAACCUGUGAGCUGUAUCUGAAUAUAACAGCCCAUUAUUACUAGUUCCAAAGAAAUCCUUACCGGAUUCAAAAGAAAAAAAUGGCGUUUAGUAAUAGACUAUUGCAAAUAAAUAACAAGUUGUUGGCUGACAAGUUCCCCUUGCCAAAGAAUAGAUGACAUACUUGAUCAAUUACCUCUCGUGCCUGGAUCUUAUGUCGGGAUUCCACCAAAUAGAGCUAGAGACGAUUCUCGAAAUAUAACAUCCUUUUCUACGAGCAGUGCCUCCUUUCGCUUCACGCGACUACCAUACGGACUAAAAAUAGCUCAAAAUUCCUUUCAACGAAUGAUGACAAUGGCAUCUCAAGCAUUUAUGUACAUUGAUGGUUUGAUUGUCAUAGGCUGUUCUGAAAAACACAUGGCCAAGAAUCUUACAAAUGUUUUUGGACUGUGCAGAAAAACAACCUCAAACUACAUCCAGAUAAGUGCUUAUUUUUCAUUUGUGUCUUGGACACAAAUGUACUGAUAAAGGCAUAUUGCCUGACGAUAUUAAAUAUGAUGCUAUACAGAGAUAUCCAGUGCCUACUGACGCAGACAGUGCUAGAAGAUUCGUAGCAUUUUGUAACUAUUAUAGACGUUUUAUAAAAAAUUUUGCAGAUUAUUCCCGUCACAUAACAAGAUUGUGUAAGAAAGAUGUAAAGUUCGAAUGGACAGCUGAUUCGAACCCCUUAAAAAAGAACUAAUGAAUCCAACUUUGCUGAAAUCCCCUUAGCAGAGUUCUGUAUCAUAACUGAUGCUAGCAAAGAGGCAUGCGGAGCGGUAUUGCCCCAGAACUAUAAUGGUCUCCACUUGCCAGUACCUCAUGCAUUAUGCAGCUUCACUAAGGGUGAGAGCAACAAGUCAACAACAGAGCAAGAGUUGUCAGCAAUACAUUGGGCGAUAAAUCAUUUUAAACCAUAUAUAUAUGGUAGACACUUCACCGUCAAAACAGAUCACAGACCAUUAACAUACUUGUUCUCGAUAGUUAAUCCAAGUUCAAAACUGACCAGAAUCAGGCUUGAUUUAGAGGAAUAUGAAUUUACUGUGGAAUAUCUUAAGGGAAACGACAAUUAUGUAGCAGAUGCGUUAUCAAGAAUAACCAUAGACCAACUUAAAAAUAUAUCCAAGCAAGUACUUAAAGUCACUACAAGAAAUCAAAGUAGACCGAAAUCCUGCGCAGGAAAAGGAAAUAAAAAUGAUAAAGUAGAAUUGCCUAAGCAAUCUACUCAAGAAGCUUCUAAGCCCAAAGUAUACGUAGUCAUUAAUAAUGACGAAGUACGCAAAGUAGUGACAUUGCAUGUAAAUAAUAUGAUAUGUUUUUUUAAACAUGGAAAAAAAAUUACUGCAAGAUACGAUGUUGAAGAUUUGUAUAUUAAUGGAACUCUCGACUUAGGUCAAUUUUUCCACAGGCUUGAAAACCAGGCCGGUAUGCAUAAUACCAAUCAACUUAAAAUGGCACCGUGGGAAAAUAUCUUUGAUAACAUUUCAAUAGAUACAUUUAAGAAAAUGGGCAAUGAAACAUUAAAACUAUUAAGAGUAGCGCUACUAAACCAGGUGACCUUAGUGAAUACAAAGAAAGAAAAAGAAGCAAUCCUGUCUACACACCACGACGAUCCAACACAAGGAAGACACGCAGGCAUUACAAAAACCCUGGCCAGGAUUAAAAGACAUUACUUUUGGAAAGGUAUGACUCGGGAUAUAACAGAGUACAUACGGAAAUUUCAAAAAUGCCAAAAAGCAAAAAUUAUAAAACACGCAAAAACUCCUUUAUUAAUUACAGAGACACAAAUAAGCGCAUUUGACAGAGUCAUAGUGGACAAGAUAGGUCCACUACCAAAGUCAGAAAACGGUAAUGAAUAUGCUGUAACACUUAUAUGCGACUUGACAAAAUAUUUGGUAACCAUUCCAAUCGCAAAUAAAAGCGCAAAAAGCAAUAUUUGAAACUUUUGUAUUAAAGUUCGGUCCAAUGAAGACGUUCAUUUCCGACAUGGGAACUAAAUACAGAAAUUCAAUAAUCAAAGAUUUAUGCAAAUACCAGAAAGUAGACAAUAUAACUUCUUCAGCACACCAUCAUCCGACGGUAGGAACGGUGGAAAGAAGUCAUAGAACUUUUAAUGAAUACAUCAGGUCAUACAUAUCGGUUGAUAAAACUGACUGGGACGUAUGGAUAAAAUAUUUCGAAUUUUGUUUUAAUACUACACCCUCUAUGGCACAUAAUUAUUGUCCAUAUGAGUUGAUUUUUGGUAAAACAUGCAAUUUACCAAAGCAUUUUAAUAGCACAGAUAGAAUAGAACUCAUUUAUAAUAUGGAAGACUAUGCUAAAGAAAGUAAAUAUAGGUUAGAAGUAGCAUAUAACAGAGCAAGAAUUAUGCUCGAAGAACA